rnacentral:rRNA from 1 species
CCUACGGGCGACAGCAGUGAGGAAUAUUGGUCAAUGGGCGCGAGCCUGAACCAGCCAAGUAGCGUGAAGGAUGACUGCCCUACGGGUUGUAAACUUCUUUUAUAAAGGAAUAAAGUGAUCCACGUGUGCCUUUUUGGAUGUACUUUAUGAAUAAGGAUCGGCUAACUCCGUGCCCGCAGCCGCGGUAAUACGGAGGAUUCGAGCGUUAUCCGGAUUUUUUGGGUUUAAAAGGGGCGUAUGUGGGUUGUUAAGUCAGUGGUGAAAGUUUGGGGCUCAACCGUAAAAGUGCCGUUGAUACUGGCAGUCUUGAGUGUGUGUGAGGUAGGCGGAAUGCGUGGUGUAGCGGUGAAAUGCAUAGAUAUCACGAAGAACUCCGAUGGCGAAGGCAGCUUACUAAACCCCAACUGACAUUGAAGCACGAAAGCGUGGGUAUCAAACAGGAUUAGAUACCCUAGUAGUC